rnacentral:rRNA from 1 species
ACGGGUGAGUAAUGUAUCGGAACGUGCCUAGUAGCGGGGGAUAACUACGCGAAAGCGUAGCUAAUACCGCAUACGCCCUACGGGGGAAAGCAGGGGAUCGCAAGACCUUGCACUAUUAGAGCGGCCGAUAUCGGAUUAGCUAGUUGGUGGGGUAAUGGCUCACCAAGGCGACGAUCCGUAGCUGGUUUGAGGGGACGACCAGCCACACUGGGACUGAGACACGGCCCAGACUCCUACGGGAGGCAGCAGUGGGGAAUUUUGGACAAUGGGGGAAACCCUGAUCCAGCCAUCCCGCGUGUGCGAUGAAGGCCUUCGGGUUGUAAAGCACUUUUGGCAGGAAAGAAACGUCAUGGGCUAAUACCCCGUGAAACUGACGGUACCUGCAGAAUAAGCACCGGCUAACUACGUGCCAGCAGCCGCGGUAAUACGUAGGGUGCAAGCGUUAAUCGGAAUUACUGGGCGUAAAGCGUGCGCAGGCGGUUCGGAAAGAAAGAUGUGAAAUCCCAGAGCUUAACUUUGGAACUGCAUUUUUAACUACCGGGCUAGAGUGUGUCAGAGGGAGGUGGAAUUCCGCGU